GAUGAACGCUGGCGGCGUGCCUAAUACAUGCAAGUCGAGCGAACCGGGGACGGGUGGUUAACACGUGAAUAACUUCCUUUAGAACUGGAUUAACUUCGGGAAACCGAGGCUAAACCGAAAACUAAAGGAGGGACCCGCGCUGCAUUAGCUAGUUGGUAAGGUAACGCCUUACCAAGGCAACGAUGCAUAGCCGACCUGAGAGGGUGAUCGGCCACACUGGAACUGAGACACGGUCCAGACUCCUACGGGAGGCAGCAGUAGGGAAUCUUCCGCAAUGGGCGAAAGCCUGACGGAGCAACGCCGCGUGAGUGAUGAAGGUCUUCGGAUCGUAAAACUCUGUUAUUAGGGAAGCGGUACCUAAUCAGAAAGCCACGGCUAACUACGUGCCAGCAGCCGCGGUAAUAC
rnacentral:rRNA from 1 species